UACGUAGGGGGCGAGCGUUACCCGGAUUUACUGGGCGUAAAGAGCGUGUAGGCGGCUGGCCAAGCGUGAUGUGAAAUCCUCGGGCUUAACCCGAAAACUGCAUUGCGAACUGGUCUGGCUAGAGUGUGUGAGAGGGUAGUGGAAUUCCCGGUGUAGCGGUGAAAUGCGUAGAUAUCAGGAGGAACACCGGUGGUGUAGACGGCUUUCUGGACCGUAACUGACGCUGAGACACGAAAGCGUGGGUAGCAAACAGG
rnacentral:rRNA from 1 species